CAUUGAAACAUCUGUUCCCGUGUGAUCACCGAAGUUAAGCCACGGCGAGUCUAGGCAGUACAUAAAUGGGUGAAUGCUUGGGAAAUACUGGAAG